rnacentral:rRNA from 1 species
UACGAAGGGGGCUAGCGUUGUUCGGAAUUACUGGGCGUAAAGGGCGCGUAGGCGGUACUUCAAGUCAGGCGUGAAAGCCCCGGGCUCAACCUGGGAACCGCGCUUGAGACUGGGGAACUAGAGUUCGGGAGAGGAUGGUGGAAUUCCCAGUGUAGAGGUGAAAUUCGUAGAUAUCGGGAGGAACACCAGUGGCGAAGGCGACUACCUGGCCUGUUCUUGACGCUGAGGCGCGAAAGCUAGGGGAGCAAACGGG